rnacentral:rRNA from 1 species
UACAGAGGUCCCAAGCGUUUGUUCGGAUUCACUGGGCGUAAAGGGUGCGUAGGUGGUCGGGUAAGUCUGAUGUGAAAGCUCUGGGCUCAACCCAGAAAUGGCAUUGGAUACUAUCUGGCUAGAGGAAUGGAGGGGGGACUGGAAUACUUGGUGUAGCAGUGAAAUGCGUAGAUAUCAAGUGGAACACCAGUGGCGAAGGCGAGUCCCUGGACAUUUCCUGACACUGAGGCACGAAAGCUAGGGGAGCAAACAGG